rnacentral:rRNA from 1 species
UAGGGAAUAUUGGUAAUGGGCGAAAGCCUGAACCAGCAACGCCGCAUGUGCGAUGAAGGCCUUCGGGUUGUAAAGCACUUUUUAAGAGGAUGAGGAAGGACAGUACUCUUAGAAUAAGCCUCGGCUAACUACGUGCCAGCAGCCGCGGUAACACGUAGGAGGCAAGCGUUAUUCGGAUUUACUGGGCGUAAAGCGCGUGCAGGCGGUUUGGUAAGUUGGAUGUGAAAGCUCCUGGCCUAACUGGGAGAGGUCGUUCAAUACUACCAGACUAGAGGAUGGGAGAGGGAGGUGGAAUUCCGGGUGUAGUGGUGAAAUGCGUAGAUAUCCGGAGGAACACCAGUGGCGAAAGCGGCCUCCUGGCCCAUUUCUGACGCUCAGACGCGAAAGCUAGGGUAGCAAACGG